AAUCAAAACUUUCAACAACGGAUCUCUUGGUUCUGGCAUCGAUGAAGAACGCAGCAAAAUGCGAUAAGUAAUGUGAAUUGCAGAAUUCAGUGAAUCAUCGAAUCUUUGAACGCACAUUGCGCCCGCCAGUAUUCUGGCGGGCAUGCCUGUUCGAGCGUCAUUUCAACCCUCAAGCUCAGCUUGGUGUUGGGACUCGCGGUAACCCGCGUUCCCCAAAUCGAUUGGCGGUCACGUCGAGCUUCCAUAGCGUAGUAAUCAUACACCUCGUUACUGGUAAUCGUCGCGGCCACGCCGUAAAACCCCAACUUCUGAAUGUUGACCUCGGAUCAGGUAGGAAUACCCGCUGAACUUAAGCAUAUCAAUAAGCGGAGGA
rnacentral:rRNA from 1 species